rnacentral:lncRNA from 1 species
AUUAUUGCAGUGAAAAAAAAAAUGAUGCAUCAACACAUCAAAGCACUCUCUUGCUGACAUCAGGGCUUUCCUGUUGCAGUCGGGUGUGCACGUCUCCAACACCACUAUAAGACGACACUAUAGACGUCAAAGACCUGUAGGCCUUCCUAGAAAAACAACUGCAAGGAAAAUGAACAGUGCUGCACUUAAAACGAUUGACGAAAAACUUAACAAGGACAAUGAGCGAUCUGCUAAAAAGAUUCAGAGCGAGCUUCUGUUUAGAAUACAGUUAAAAGCAUCAGUCUGCACUAUUAGAAAACCAUUAAAACAACUCAGGUGGACCUAUGGAAAAGCCAGGUAAGCCAUUUUGAUCAAUGCCAUAAUGAAAAGAUUCAAUUAACAUUCAUUCAUGCAUCUCUUUAUUUAGGCUAUUUGCUUUAUACGACCCUAUUAAUAAACCGCCAUGUUGUAAAACCGAAAGCAAAGCAUCCAGAAAAAUUCAUGUCUGGGGAGCCAUAUUCCAUCAGGGACCUGGACCGCUAGUUGUGUUAGAAAAUUAGUUCAAAUUUCUUCAAUAUGAUUGAAUCGUUUCUUUGCAGUUUCUUUAUUUACAACUUUUUUUUUCUAUUUUCAGGAAUUAUGG